GACGAACGCUGGCGGCGUGCCUAAUACAUGCAAGUAGAACGCACAGUUUAUACCGUAGCUUGCUACACCAUAGACUGUGAGUUGCGAACGGGUGAGUAACGCGUAGGUAACCUGCCUGGUAGCGGGGGAUAACUAUUGGAAACGAUAGCUAAUACCGCAUAAUAUUAAUUAUUGCAUGAUAAUUGAUUGAAAGAUGCAACUGCAUCACUACCAGAUGGACCUGCGUUGUAUUAGCUGGUAGGUGAGGUAACGGCUCACCUAGGCGACGAUACAUAGCCGACCUGAGAGGGUGAUCGGCCACACUGGGACUGAGACACGGCCCAGACUCCUACGGGAGGCAGCAGUAGGGAAUCUUCGGCAAUGGACGAAAGUCUGACCGAGCAACGCCGCGUGAGUGAAGAAGGUUUUCGGAUCGUAAAGCUCUGUUGUAAGAGAAGAACGGGUGUGAGAGUGGAAAGUUCACACUGUGACGGUAUCUUACCAGAAAGGGACGGCUAACUACGUG
rnacentral:rRNA from 1 species